rnacentral:rRNA from 1 species
AGCAGCCGCGGUAAUUCCAGCUCCAAUAGCGUAUAUUAAAGUUGUUGCAGUUAAAAAGCUCGUAGUUGAAUUUCGGGGUUAGCAGGUCGGUCGUGCCAUCGGUAUGAACUGGUCUCGCUGAUCCCUCCCUCUUGACGAACUGUGAUGCCAUUAAUUUGGUGUCGCAGGGAAUCAGGACUGUUACUUUGAAAAAUUAGAGUGUUUAAAGCAGGCUCACGCUUGAAUACAUUAGCAUGGAAUAAUGAAAUAGGACGUUUGAUCCUAUUUUGUUGGCUUCUAGGAUUGACGUAAUGAUUAAUAGGGAUAGUUGGGGGCAUUAGUAUUCAAUUGUCAGAGGUGAAAUUCUUGGAUUUAUUGAAGACUAACUACUGCGAAAGCAUUUGCCAAGGAUGUUUUCAUUAAUCAAGAACGAAAGUUAGGGGAUCGAAGACGAUCAGAUACCGUCGUAGUCUUAACCAUAAACUAUGCCGA